GACGAACGCUGGCGGCGUGCUUAACACAUGCAAGUCGAACGGAAAGGCCCUGCUUUUGUGGGGUGCUCGAUUGGCGAACGGGUGAGUAACACGUGAGUAACCUGCCCUUGACUUUGGGAUAACUUCAGGAAACUGGGGCGAAUACCCGAUAUGAUCUCCUGCUGCAUGGUGGGGGUUGGAAAGUUUCGGCGGUUGGGGCUGGACUCGCGGGUUAUCCGCUUGUUGGUGGGGUAGGGGCUUACCAAGGCUUUGACGGGUAGCCUGCCUGAGAGGGUGACCGGGCACAUUGGGACUGAGAUACGGACCAGACUCCUACGGGAGGCAGCAGUGGGGAAUAUUGCACAAUGGGCGGAAGCCUGAUGCAGCAACGCCGCGUGCGGGAUGACGGCCUUCGAGUUGUAAACAGCUUUCGCCUGUGACGAAGAGUGAGUGACGGUAAUGGGUAAAAAAGCAACGGCUAACUACGUG
rnacentral:rRNA from 1 species